rnacentral:rRNA from 1 species
GGGCCCGCACAAGCGGUGGAGUAUGUGGUUUAAUUCGAUGCAACGCGAAGAACCUUACCAGGGUUUGACAUCCUGCGAAUCUCUUGGAAACGAGAGAGUGCCUUCGGGAACGCAGUGACAGGUGGUGCAUGGCUGUCGUCAGCUCGUGUCGUGAGAUGUUGGGUUAAGUCCCGCAACGAGCGCAACCCACGUCUUUAGUUGCCAGCAUUUAGUUGGGCACUCUAGAGAGACCGCCGGUGAUAAACCGGAGGAAGGUGUGGAUGACGUCAAGUCAUCAUGGCCCUUACGAGUAGGGCUACACACGUGCUACAAUGGCGCAUACAGAGGGCGGCCAACUUGCGAGAGUGAGCGAAUCCCAAAAAGUGCGUCGUAGUCCGGAUCGGAGUCUGCAACUCGACUCCGUGAAGUCGGAAUCGCUAGUAAUCGUGGAUC